rnacentral:rRNA from 1 species
UUGGAGGGCAAGUCUGGUGCCAGCAGCCGCGGUAAUUCCAGCUCCAAUAGCGUAUAUUAAAGUUGUUGCAGCUAAAAAGCUCGUAGUUGAAUUUCGGGGUCAAUAAGUUGGUCGUGCCAAUGGUAUGCACUGGCUUUAUUGAUUCCUACCUCUUGACGAACUGUGAUGCCAUUAAUUUGGUGCUGCAGGAAAUCAGGACUGUUACCUUGAAAAAAUUAGAGUGUUUAAAGCAGGCUUACGCUUGAAUACAUUAGGAUGGAAUAAUGAAAUAGGACGUUUGAACCUAUUUUGUUGGUUUCUAGGAUCGACGUAAUGAUUAAUAGGGAUAGUUGGGGGCAUUAGUAUUCAAUUGUCAGAGGUGAAAUUCUUGGAUUUAUUGAAGACUAACUACUGCGAAAGCAUUUGCCAAGGAUGUUUUCAUUAAUCAAGAACGAAAGUUAGGGGAUCGAAGACGAUCAGAUACCGUCGUAGUCUAACCAUAAACUAUGCCGACUAGGGAUCGGAUGAUGUUAAUUUUUUAAUGACUCAUUCGACGCCUUACGGGAAACCAAAGUGUUUGGGUUC